AACAGGGCAUCCGGGUGGUGCUGAGCACCGCGUCGGUGCUUGUGGAAGCAGCGGCCGCGGGGGGCAUGGCGGGGCCCGGGAGAGAUUCUGCCGCGGGUGCGGAAUGAACCGGGCGCCCCGAGGAGCUCAGUCGGGUCCCCUCGGGAAGGUCCGCAGUGGCGGGAGCGAGCGUGGCGGUCGCUGCUGGUGGUAGGGACCGCGGAGCAGCGAGUCCAGUCUCCUGUCAGGCCUGGCCGCCUCUCAGGGGACCCUGGCAGCUCCCGCAGGAGGACGGGGAAGAUCCCGCCGCUGCCAGAGCCGGUGCUGCGGAAGAAACGAAGCAGAGAAGCUGGUGUAUCUCUACUGUUGCAGACCCGAGACGGUGCAGAACCUAGAGGGUUAAAGCAACAGGAUGAAGUCAGCAUAAAACAGCCUACAAGGACUGGCAAAUAAAUAAAUCAUCCUAACUACGUUAUUAUCACGGCUUGCCUGAGCUUCAUUGUCUCUUUCGUUCUUACCUGAAUGCCUGUUACAUUUUUCUCCUUGUUCAAGAGAGGCAAUCAAAAGAGACUGUGAGCAGUAAAUGGCUCCUGCCCAUUCUGGAUGUUGCUAAAAAUACUACCUUACCACUCUACAUCUAGAGGUCAAUUGAAAAAUCAAAAUACUGAGGUCAGCAACCCUGCAGACUGUUCUGUUGAGGAGAUUUCUUGCAUUUCUUCCCAGAAGGAGAAUAUAAAACUAUCUGAAUGCAUAUGAAAGAAAUUCUCUUACAUUCUGCCUGCAGCUCAGCACCCUCCUCUACACCGAUGGCUGUAGCUCAGCGAGGCUUCCCCAGGCACUUGGAAAUUGCAUUUCUGGAUACAGCUUUGUAAGACUGGCAGAUGUGUUCUGCACAGUUCUGUCAUAUCUCCCAGCUCUCAGGCAGACAAAAUUAGCUUUGGUACAGCUAAGAAGGAGAUGAUGUGUUCAACGUCUUGCAGUUUGAGUACGUGUCUGUACCUGCUUCCUUUUCUCUUAGGGAAGGUGCCACCACAGGACAGCAACAUUACAGUCCCAGACCAAAUGAAAUAGUGGAAAGAUAUCUCGUGAACAAAGGUGCAACAUCUACAUGCAAAGAAAAAAAAAUAACAAAGCAUAAAAUCCUGGAAUUGUUGGGAAAACUGGCUAAUUAAAGGACUUAUAUCAGGCAUGAGAAAAGAGAAAAAAAAAAAAGAGCAGAGUUGGAGAACCGUACUUUACACUGCUAGAAAAAGCAGGAAGAAACAUA